rnacentral:rRNA from 1 species
CAGUUGGGCACUCUAGAGGGACUGCCCGGUGUCAAACCGGAGGAAGUGGGAUGACGUCAAGUCCUCAUGGCCUUUAUGUCUAGGGCUACACACGUACUACAAUGGCCGGUACAAAGGGCAGCCACUCAGCGAUGAGGCGCUAAUCCCAUAAAGUUGGUCUCAGUUCAGAUUGUAGGCUGCAACCCGCCUGCAUGAAGAUGGAGUUGCUAGUAACCGCAGGUCAGCUAUACUGCGGUGAAUACGUUCCCGGGGCUU